GACGACCGCGCACGGUGCGUAACACGUAUGCAACCUACUCUUACUCGGGGAUAGCCCAGAGAAAUUUGGAUUAACACCCCAUAGUAUCACCAGUUCGCAUGAUCAGGUGAUUAAAGGUUACGGUAAGAGAUGGGCAUGCGCCCCAUUAGCUAGUUGGUGAGGUAACGGCUCACCAAGGCUACGAUGGUAGGGGGUCUGAGAGGACUAUCCCCCACACUGGUACUGAGACACGGACCAGACUCCUACGGGAGGCAGCAGUGAGGAAUAUUGCGCAAUGGACGAAAGUCUGACGCAGCCAUGCCGCGUGCAGGAUGACGGCGCUAUGCGUUGUAAACUGCUUUUAUAUGCCAAGAAACCUUCGGACGUGUCCGAAGCUGACGGUAGCAUAUGAAUAAGCACCGGCCAACUCCGUG
rnacentral:rRNA from 1 species